ensembl:miRNA
AAGUCUACGGCCAUACCACCCUGAACGCGCCCGAUCUCGUCUGAUCUCGGAAGCUAAGCAGGGUCGGGCCUGGUUAGUACUUGGAUGGG